rnacentral:rRNA from 1 species
AACGAACGCUGGCGGCAGGCCUAACACAUGCAAGUCGAACGCUCGUAGCAAUACGAGAGUGGCAGACGGGUGAGUAACACGUGGGAACCUUCCCUAUGGUUCGGAAUAGCUCAGGGAAACUUGGGGUAAUACCGGAUAAGCCCUUCGGGGAAAGGAUUUAUCGCCAUUGGAUGGGCCCGCGUCGGGUUAGCUAGUUGGUGAGGUAACGGCUCACCAAGGCAACGAUCCGUAGCUGGUCUGAGAGGAUGAUCAGCCACACUGGGACGUGAGACACGGCCCAGACUCCUACGGGAGGCAGCAGUGGGGAAUAUUGGACAAUGGGCGGCAAGCCUGAUCCAGCCAUGCCGCGUGAGUGACGAAGGUCUUCGGAUUGUAAAACUCUUUUGGCGGGGACGAUAAUGACGGUACCCGCAGAAUAAGCCCCCGGCUAACUUCGUGCCAGCCGCCGCAGUAAU